rnacentral:ncRNA from 1 species
GCCCAACACAGGAGUGCAAACUAGGAAAGAUUAAUAAAUGUAAAAGGAACUCGGCAAACUUAAACCCCGCCUGUUUACCAAAAACAUCACCUCUAGCAUUACCAGUAUUAGAGGCACCGCGUGCCCAGUGACGCAAGUUAAACGGCCGCGGUAUCCUGACCGUGCAAAGGUAGCAUAAUAAUUUGUUCCUUAAUUAGGGACUUGUAUGAAUGGCAUCACGAGGGUUUAACUGUCUCUUACAUUCGAUCAAUGAAAUUGACCUUUCCGUGAAGAGGCGGAAAUAACACAAUAAGACGAGAAGACCCUAUGGAGCUUAAAUUAAUAUUCCAACUUAAACAACUUCAAAUCUAAUCGAUGUAAAAUCUGCAACCACUGGAAUAAACAUUUUGGUUGGGGUGACCUCGGAGCAUAAAAAAACCUCCGAAGGACUAACAUUAAGACCAACUAGUCCAAAUUAUAAAUGUCCAAAUAUUGACCCAGAAAUAAUUCUGAUCAAUGAACCAAGUUACCCUAGGGAUAACAGCGCAAUCUUGUUAAAGAGUUCAUAUCGACAAUAAGGUUUACGACCUCGAUGUUGGAUCAGGACAUCCCAAUGGUGCAGCAGCUAUUAAAGGUUCGUUUGUUCAACGAUUAAAGUCCUACGUGAUCUGAGUUCAGACCGGAGCAAUCCAGGUCGGUUUCUAUCUAUUUACCUAUUUCUCCUAGUACGAAAGGACCAGAGAAAUGAGGCCAACUUUACAAAAGCGCCUUAAUACUUAAUAAAUGAUAUAUAUAUCAACUUACAAAGUAACUUAACUCACUCAAUUACAUCCCGACAUUAGGGAUUGUUAAGAUGGCAGAGCCAG